CUGCAGACUUAUUCACAUCUAUUUUUAGUUGCACAUCCUGGGUUUCAUGGAGUCAUUUCUCACUUUCACAAUGUGGAUUUUCAUUCUUUGCUCUGCUUCAGUUACAGGAUCAUUUGUAGUGGAUGUGACACAGAGCUCCUAUCAGGCAGAGGAGAACCACAACAUCACACUGGAGUGGACGUUCACCACCAAACCAGAAGCAGAAACGACUCAGCAACCCCGAAAUUUCCAAACACCAGAUUGAAAUGAAGAGACCAAAGUUCAAGAAUAUAAGGUGGAGGAGCAGUGAUCGCUGCUGUGGUGUUUAUCUUGCUGAUCCUGGGUGGAUUUUGUGGAUGUUUGCUUGUGAAGAAGCACAAAGAACGAUUGCUGACUGACAGAAGUCCAGCUGCUCUGUCACAUCUGUUUACUGAAUGAACUUCAGCUGCUGAUGUUGAUGAGGACUGACUCAACAACAGAUAACUUCAGUCUGAUUCAGCUGAAGUUCUUUUUUCAGCUGAAUCAGACGGCUGAUUUAUUCAUAAACUGUUUCUGUAAAUAAAUAGUUGUUUUCUGAGUUUGAGCCUCUUCUAGUCUCUCGUUGCUCUUCAGUGUGUGAGCCCGGCUGUGACAGUGUGUCAGUACAUACAUCAUACUGGACAUCAUGUGUAUUAUAAUCAGUGUCAGCAUUAAUGCUGACAGCCCUACUUUUUAAAUAUCACAACUCUGACUUCCUGUAACUUCCUGUUCAGUCUGAAAUAAAUUAUGACCAACAAGAGACUGAAGUGAAACUUAAGGCUGAUGGCGUGUUGUCAUUACACCAGUGGGCAGGCAGUAUGAACAUGAUAACUCGACAGUGACGUAGGAUUUUCAGAUUCGUGCCACAGGUCCGUCUGCUAUAAAUCUCCGAUAGGUUUGAUUUGUGUAAUAUUGGUUUUACCAGUAGAGGGAGCCACAGAUCAAAAAUGUUAUCAUCUAGCAGCAAAGAGCCAGAGGAAAUGAAAGACCCUGAAGUGAACACGAUGUGUUUCAGUCUUUGGAACAAAUUUAAAGAUGAACUAGAAAUGUGUCACACACUUCUGAAAUGUAAAAGUUUGUAUGUGAUGAAGCUGUUAACAUACAGCUGUGUUUUAGCCACGUGUUAAACCAGCAGAUGUGCCCGAUGUGUGUGUGUCAGUAAAUUAAAGGUGUGUAUUCUGUUUUGUGUGUGUGUGUGUAUAUUUAUGUACAGUAUGUAAAUACAUAACAUAUGUAACAGUAGGUACAGUCAGCUGUAUAACAAUUAAAAAUCUGUUUUCUUUUGUUAUUAUUUUCUCUUGUUUC